rnacentral:rRNA from 1 species
UGGGGAAUAUUGCACAAUGGGCGCAAGCCUGAUGCAGCCAUGCCGCGUGUAUGAAGAAGGCCUUCGGUUGUAAAGUACUUUCAGCGGGGAGGAAGGCGGUGAGGUUAAUAACCUCGCCGAUUGACGUUACCCGCAGAAGAAGCACCGGCUAACUCCGUACCAG